rnacentral:rRNA from 1 species
GACAGAGGGUGCAACCGUUGCUCGGAAUUACUGGGCGUAAAGCGCGUGUAGGCGGUUUCGCAAGUCGGGUGUGAAAGCCCAGGGCUCAACCCUGGAAGUGCACUUGAUACUACGGAGCUUGAGUUCUGAAGAGGAGAGCGGAAUUCCCGGUGUAGAGGUGAAAUUCGUAGAUAUCGGGAGGAACACCAGUGGCGAAGGCGGCUCUCUGGGCAGAAACUGACGCUGAGACGCGAAAGCGUGGGGAGCAAACAGG